rnacentral:rRNA from 1 species
UACCAGCACCCCGAGUGGUCGGGACGAUUAUUGGGCCUAAAGCAUCCGUAGCCGGCCUUACAAGUCCUCCGUUAAAUCCAGCUGCUUAACAGAUGGGCUGCGGAGGAUACUACAGGGCUAGGAGGCGGGAGAGGCAAGCGGUACUUUAUGGGUAGGGGUAAAAUCCGUUGAUCCAUAGAAGACCACCAGUGGCGAAGGCGGCUUGCCAGAACGCGCUCGACGGUGAGGGAUGAAAGCUGGGGGAGCAAACCGG